rnacentral:rRNA from 1 species
UACGAAGGGGGCGAGCGUUGUUCGGAUUUACUGGGCGUAAAGGGCGCGUAGGCGCCUUGUCAGUCAGGCGUGAAAGCCCCGGGCUCAACCUGGGAACGGCGCUUGGGACGGCGAGGCUGGAGUUCGGGAGAGGAGAGUGGAAUUCCCAGUGUAGAGGUGAAAUUCGUAGAUAUUGGGAAGAACACCGGUGGCGAAGGCGGCUCUCUGGACCGACACUGACGCUGAGGCGCGAAAGCGUGGGGAGCAACAGGG